rnacentral:rRNA from 1 species
GAUAAACGCUGGCGGCGCACAUAAGACAUGCAAGUCGAACGGACUUAACCAUUAGUUUACUAUUGGAGCGGUUAGUGGCGGACUGGUGAGUAACACGUAAGCAACCUGCCUAUCAGAGGGGAACAACAGUUAGAAAUGACUGCUAAUACCGCAUAUGCCUUAAUUACCACAUGGUAAUAGAGGGAAAGGAGCAAUCCGCUGAUAGAUGGGCUUGCGUCUGAUUAGAUAGUUGGCGGGGUAACGGCCCACCAAGGCGACGAUCAGUAGCCGGACUGAGAGGUUGAACGGCCACAUUGGGACUGAGACACGGCCCAG